CUCAAUGGGGUCGCAACCUCUCCAAACCACUAGUUUACUAGCGGUCGAUUUGCGAAUGGCUGCACGCGAGGGGGUCGAUGCCUCACGAGGCAGUCCGUUCACAAACGGUUGCACACGAGGGGGUCUAAGCAGUGGCCUGUAGCGAGGCAACGACAUCGUUAUCUGCUUCUGAAACUCUCGUGUUUUUCCAUCUCCAUAUACUGGUCAUUCUCUAAAUGAUCUUUUAUUUGUCUAGACUUCCACAUCCAAGUGAAUGUGCCCUUUACUAUGUCAACCGAGAUAUACUUUUCUAAUAUCACAAGGAGAGUGAGAUAUGUUUAUAGGUUUGUCUCUCCAUUGUGGAAUUCAAUGAUAUUUUUUCUCCUCAUAGAGAGAAGACUACACUUGAGCAUGAGCCUAGCUUGUGGUUGCUGCAGUUGGCUUCAAGGCAAGAAGGCCUGAGAUCCCAAGUACUAUAAAUAAACAUGUGGCUGCCAUAAUUGAGUCCUGUUGGGCCAGGUAUAGAUAUCUAUUGCCUGAUGCAGGCAUGGUUAUUAAAUAUUAACAUACUUCUUCACUCGUGCUUCCCCACACACAAACUUAAAUCACAUGUUGAGCUUCAGCAAGCCAUGGAAAAGGCCUUCUUUUUCUAGUAUCAUGGAAUCCUUGAAGCCUCUAAUCAAGACUCAGUCACCUCAACCGUUACAUUCUGAUAUGUCUAGUAUCCAAUAGCCAGAUGAUUGCAUAUUCCUAAGAGAGAUGUGUAUUGUAUCUAUUCUACUUGUCAAAAAGGGUCCCCUUCAAAUUUUGCCUGUCAGAGGAUCAGUGCCAAUGAAGCUGCUGCCAGUUUUCAUUGCAUCACCGCCAACACGAUCGAUCUAAUCAGCUAUAGAUAUUUUUCAGUAAAUUGAAGUUCCAUUCGCGUUUAUAUGUAUAUUUUGUUUAACCUAGAGUGAUAUCAGCAUGGAACUUGUAUAUUGCCAGCAUGGAACAUGUAUAUCUA